rnacentral:rRNA from 1 species
UACGGAGGGUGCAAGCGUUAUCCGGAUUCACUGGGUUUAAAGGGUGCGCAGGCGGAUAUGUAAGUCAGUGGUGAAAUCUCUAGGCUUAACCUGGAAAUUGCCGUUGAUACUAUAUAUCUUGAAUGUUGUGGAGGUAAGCAGAAUAUGUCAUGUAGCGGUGAAAUGCUUAGAUAUGACAUAGAAUACCUAUUGCGAAGGCAGCUUACUACGCAGAUAUUGACGCUCAUGCACGAAAGCGUGGGGAUCAAACAGG